rnacentral:rRNA from 1 species
UACGAAGGGGGCUAGCGUUGCUCGGAAUCACUGGGCGUAAAGCGCACGUAGGCGGCUUUCUAAGUCAGGGGUGAAAUCCUGGAGCUCAACUCCAGAACUGCCUUUGAUACUGGAGAGCUUGAGUCCGGGAGAGGUGAGUGGAACUCCGAGUGUAGAGGUGAAAUUCGUAGAUAUUCGGAAGAACACCGGUGGCGAAGGCGGGUCUCUGGGCCGAUACUGACGCUGAGGAGCGAAAGCGUGGGGAGCGAACAGG